rnacentral:rRNA from 1 species
UCGGAUAUCUGUUGCUGAAUACAUAGGCAGCAGAGGCGAACGAGGGGAACUGAAACAUCUAAGUACCCUUAGGAAGAGAAAUCAAUUGAGAUUCCCCAAGUAGUGGCGAGCGAACGGGGAAGAGCCUAAACCCUAUUUGUGUUAAAGCGUACGGGCCUUGCUUAUAGGGUGUCGUGGGAUGCGAUUUGAGAUAUCCGUAUAUAUCUCGGGGAGUUACAAAGCUAUUUGUUAGUAGAACAGUCUGGAAAGUCUGGCCAUAGACGGUGAUAGCCCGGUAUACGAAAAGGCGCUAGCUGUGAGCAUGAGUAGGGCGGGACACGAGAAAUCCUGUUUGAAAAUGGGGGGACCAUCCUCCAAGGCUAAAUACUCCCUACUGACCGAUAGUGAACCAGUACCGUGAGGGAAAGGCGAAAAGAACCCCGGAGAGGGGAGUGAAAUAGACCCUGAAACCGUGUGCGUACAAGCAGUGGGAGCCCUUCGGGGUGACUGCGUACCUUUUGUAUAAUGGGUCAGCGACUUACUUUCAGUAGCAAGCUUAACCGUCUAGGGUAGGCGAAGGGAAACCGAGUCUUAAUAGGGCGAACAGUUGCUGGGAGUAGACCCAAAACCGGGUGAUCUAGCCAUGGGCAGGUUGAAGGUGCGGUAACACGCACUGGAGGACCGAACCCACUUAUGUUGAAAAAUGAGGGGAUGAGCUGUGGAUAGGAGUGAAAGGCUAAUCAAGCCCGGAGAUAGCUGGUUCUCCUCGAAAGCUAUUUAGGUAGCGCCUCGUGUAUUGCCCUAGGGGGUAGAGCACUGUUAUGGCUAGGGGGUCAUCCCGACUUACCAACCCAUUGCAAACUCCGAAUACCUGGAAGUGCAAUCGCGGGAGACACACGGCGGGUGCUAACGUCCGUCGUGGAGAGGGAAACAACCCAGACCGCCAGCUAAGGUCCCCAAAUUCAUGCUAAGUGGGAAAGGAUGUGGGAAGGCACAGACAGCCAGGAGGUUGGCUUAGAAGCAGCCAUCCUUUAAAGAAAGCGUAAUAGCUCACUGGUCUAAAUAAGCCGUCCUGCGCCGAAGAUGUACCGGGGCUAAAGUGAUACACCGAAGCUGUGGGUUUCAAUCGUAAGAUUGAAGCGGUAGCGGAGCGUUCUGUAGGCCGAUGAAGGCAUACCCGUGAGGGGUGCUGGAGGUAUCAGAAGUGAGAAUGCUGACAUGAGUAGCGAUAAAGAGUGUGAGAGACACUCUCGCCGAAAGUCCAAGGGUUCCUGCGUAAAGCUAAUCUGCGCAGGGUUAGCCGGCCCCUAAGGCGAGGGCGAAAGCCGUAGUCGAUGGGAACGAGGUUAAUAUUCCUCGACCAGUGGGUGGUGACGAAUGCUGUGAGUUGUAUCUCCUUAUUGGAUUGGAGGUGCAGCGAAGGUGUUCCAGGAAAUAGCCCCCACAUCAGACCGUACCCUAAACCGACACAGGUGGACUGGUAGAGCAUACCAAGGCGCUUGAGAGAACGAUGUUGAAGGAACUCGGCAAAAUACCUCCGUAAGUUCGCGAGAAGGAGGCCCGGUUCCUAGGCAACUAGGGGCUGGGGGCACAAACCAGGGGGUGGCGACUGUUUAUUAAAAACACAGGGCUCUGCGAAGUCGCAAGACGACGUAUAGGGUCUGACGCCUGCCCGGUGCCGGAAGGUUAAAAGGAGAGGUGAGAGCCUUGAAUUGAAGCCCCGGUAAACGGCGGCCGUAACUAUAACGGUCCUAAGGUAGCGAAAUUCCUUGUCGGGU